GACGAACGCUGGCGGCGUGCUUAACACAUGCAAGUCGAGCGGUAAGGCCUUUUGGGGUACACGAGCGGCGAACGGGUGAGUAACACGUGGGUGAUUUGCCCUGCACUUUGGGAUAAGCCUGGGAAACUGGGUUUAAUACCGGAUAUGACCCUUGAUCGCAUGAUUUUUGGUGGAAAGAUUUAUCGGUGCAGGAUGGGCCCGCGGCCUAUCAGCUUGUUGGUGGGGUAAUGGCCUACCAAGGCGACGACGGGUAGCCGGCCUGAGAGGGCGACCGGCCACACUGGGACUGAGACACGGCCCAGACUCCUACGGGAGGCAGCAGUGGGGAAUAUUGCACAAUGGGCGAAAGCCUGAUGCAGGGACGCCGCGUGGAGGAUGACGGCCUUCGGGUUGUAAACUCCUUUCAGCAGGGACGAAGCGCAAGUGACGGUACCUGCAGAAGAAGCACCGGCCAACUACGUG
rnacentral:rRNA from 1 species